rnacentral:misc_RNA from 1 species
CCCCUGUCACUUCCAAGACAUCGUCCUCUGUGAUCUCAAUGCCUUUGCCCUUCAGCCUUGUGACUGAUUGUAGACAUGUAAUAGCUCGUCUCAUAUCACCUCCUGAUGCCUCGACAACUUUGGUUAAAGCACUUGUAUCAGCCUUCAAAUCCUCCUCUUUACAAAUAAGUUCCAGCCGCUCGAUGAUUUUUUCUUCACCCAAUGUGGCACUGGCAGUUAGCUGCGCAAAUGUUUUCACCUUUUCUCUGAUGACUUGAAUGCCACGUUCGUCAGAGGCAUUUAACUCAAGUAUUCUUUCUUUGUACAUGUCUCCAAACAACUGUCUUGCAGCUGCUAAUAUUGUGCUAGUUUUUCCUGUUCCAGGUGGUCCGUAGAAUAAAAGAUUUGGAAAAUCUCCUCCCAGUAAACAUUGCUGCAGGACCUUGACUACCUCACCUUGUUCCACGACCUCCUCCACAGUCUUGGGUCUGCUGUGAUUAAAGAAAAAUUGGAUCACAAGAAAUCUUCUCAUUAGGGGGUGAUCUUUCUCAAAAUGCACCAACUAUUUUUCAACCCAUGGUGGCGAAGGACCUUUAUGCCUAUCUGAUGAGGUUGAACUAGAAGCUUUCUUGUCAGUUGCUCCCAACUUUCCUGUUUUCAGAAACGCCUGCAUGGUUAUCAAAAUUUAAAUAAAAUGAAAUCGUACAAGGGACCGGUACGUUUAUUGCAGAGUAUAGCGAAACAGGAAACUGGCUAGAACACAAAAACCCGCCAAAACUUGUGACCGGCUUCACCAGGGUGCCGUAUAACGAAUUCAGAAAAGGUUCAACUAUGUUUAUUUAUCUCUUUUUACUUUCUUUUCCUUAAUUUUUUAUGAUUUACU